rnacentral:ribozyme from 1 species
ACACAGUACUCUCCCAGAUUUUCCAAAGUAUGUGAAACAUUAUAUUGGUUCAUUCAUCGCUCACCUCAUACUCUCUCCAUUCUCCAGAUGGGAGCAUCGAAUCCUUACACAAAAUAUGAAUCAACCGUAAAAAA